GACGAACCGUGCGAACGUUAUUCGGAAUCACUGGGCUUAAAGCGCGUGUAGGCGGGCCGGCACGUCGGUCGCUGAAAUCCCGCGGCUCAACCGCGGAACGGGCGCCGAUACGACCGGCCUGGAGGGGGGUAGGGGGCGCCGGAACUCACGGUGGAGCGGUGAAAUGCGUUGAGAUCGUGAGGAACGCCCGUGGCGAAAGCGGGCGCCUGGACCGGGCCUGACGCUGAGACGCGAAAGCCAGGGGAGCGAACGGG
rnacentral:rRNA from 1 species